rnacentral:lncRNA from 1 species
CGUAUUGGUCGGAGCCCAUUACUCAUCUCGGUUCCCAAUCUAGAGCUCUCUCUCUCUUUGAAAUCGUUCUCUCGAUCCCCUUUACUUUGAAAUCGUUUCUCUCUAACCCUAAUCGCCGUCUUUCUCUCUUUGUCGAUUCUCUUUCUCCCCCCCAAUCAAUAACCAUAAUCGUCGUCUCGAUCUCUUUGUCGAUUCUCUUUCUCCCCCCAACUCAUCCCGUAUAAUGUCCCCGAUGAGAGUGAUGGUACUUCAAUGUGCUCUCAUCAAUCCUCCAUUCAAGAUCCCUUCGGACCCUCCACAUCCCCCCUCCGCCUCGAUGAUUACCUCAGAUCGU